ensembl:lncRNA
AUGGCCACGGAUGACUCCAGCUCCAGGACGUUCUGGGAAGGCAAACCUGUGGACCCAGUUAGGGCGCCCGUGAGCCAAAGCUGUGGGAUCCUCGCCGCCAGAUAUUCGACCCUUGAGAAUCUAUCACAUUGGCCUACGUUUUAUUUUUCACGAGAGAGAUUUGUUUGCUCCGUGAGGAUCUAUUUUCCAAACGUCAGUUUCUGUUACACGUUCUCGUGGUUUUUAUUACUGAGACUCAGCCCCAGCGCUUGUGUUGUUUGGUGUUCUCACGUUUCUGCUUCCCUGUGCCCCGCCCCAACAUUGGGGGUGUUGGAAUCAGAAGCAGAGACCAGCCUUGAAAAUCCCCCGAGGAAACAAAACCAGUUGGGUUAUACUAACAAAGAUUAGUUUAGUUUAGUUUGCAAGACUAGCCUGACCCCGGUCAUUUCUCCCUCGUGUCCCUGGAAACCACGGACAAGACUCAACUGUUUCCCGAAAGUUGCUGUGAGCUAACCACUAACCACUUGUGCAUCAUUGAAGAAAGUUCUAAUACCGCGACGACUCAGCGCCCGCGCACCCCGGAGCCGUCCGUGCUUCGGCUAAGCGCUCCCGGCUUGGAGAAGGGCUUUUCGGCGCGCGCACGGCACGUCUUUACCCGUUCCUGGUCGCCACUCCCUGCGUGCUUGUCCGGGCUCACCAAAGCACGUUGUGUGCGGUGGUUUUGGAAUUAGUGCGCGCCCCCCUCCGCGGGGAGGAGUUUUGUCGCCCAUACACAAUGUCUUCGUUCCGAGCCUCACCACUCUCCAGAAGAGUUAGCAGACGAGGUCCCCUCAAAGUUUUUGACCUCCAGAGACUUUUUACUAAUCAUUUCUCUCAACGUAACGUGAUAUGGGGCACGCCUGGGGGAGGGUGUCACCGGAGCAAGUGUUUGGGGACAGUGCGCCUGCGGGUGUGAUGAUGUACGGAGCAUGAGACAGGUGUCCGCCCACUAGAACAAAUGUGGUUUUAUUUUCAUCCCAGAAGCAUGAGGAUGUGGGAUCAUUCACGGCAACACUGUUCGUCCCCAGGGAAGAGCCUAGGGUCACAUGAUGGUCUUCGGUCUUCUUUCAUUUGUUUUGUUUUUAAAGAGGAACUUUUUUUUUUAAUGUUCUAUUUGUUUUGAGCGAGAGAGCAUGAGCAAGGAAAGGUCAGAGAGAGAGGGAGACACAGAAUCCAAAGACAGGCCCCAGGCUCCGAGCUGCCAGCACAGAGCCCGAUGCAGGGCUUGAACCCACAAACUGCGAGAUCAUGACCUGAGCUGAAGCCGAACGCUUAACUGCUUAACCGACUGAGCCCCCCGGGUACCCCCAGUCUUCUUUUAAAGAUGAAUUAAGAUGAAGACAAACGCUCUCUUUUAAUUCGCACGAACCAGAUUCUGCUCACCGUGGCCUCCAGGCGGCUGCGUCGGAGAGCUGCUCCUUUGGUAGGAAAUCUGCUUGGCGCCCUUUUCUCAGUUAUGAAAAGUUCGCGCACGGGUGGCUUGUUUCUUAAUUCGAAAUACCAUAACUUUUUGUAGAAGUCACUGAAAUUGUCCAAAUACACACACCAAGAGUCGUUUUGUGAAUGUCCACACAUCCCUGUCAGCCAGUUUUGUUGUAUGGAAGUCUCUUUCAGUGACCUGGCCAGGUUGUAGGAUAUGGGACGGUCCCCGGCUUUUCCUCCUGGCAGUCCUGUGUCAGCCCAAGUUCAUUUCUAGACGGGCCCUUGUGCUUCACAGCGAGUCUUGAUUCUUAGCCCUCUCCCUCAAACACUAGUUUUUGUCCUGCUGCUCCCGGCUGCCGGCACGUCUGCCAUUCUGUGGGACGCCCGCUCCUGCUUAGCAUGUCCUGGUCUCCAGAAGGCCCCCCGGGCUUUCCCCGUACACGACGUGAGCUGAGUUUGGGCCCUGACGGGAAAGCCGUUCAGACACAGGCUGCUCGCUGGGGCUGGUCAGCUGUCCCUUGCACGGUGGCUGUCAGCAGUGAGGGGCCGCGGGCACGGGGCCUGAGGUCGCAGGGGGCCGGCUUGGCGUGCUUGACAGCAGUUGCCAGGACACCUGUUGUCCUCCGAGAGACAGCUGCCAAGUAGGAGGGCCUUGGCGGCCCCGUGAUCCUGAACAUCUGCCUGGUUGUCUGCUCGGCCCUCCUCCUCCUCUCGGGGGACCCGGCUUUGUCAGAAAGGGCUGCCAGGCCCAGCCUCCCCGGAUGGUGCCCACACAGCCACCCAACCCGACCUCCCUCGGGCUUCCGCAGAGAUCCAAGGGCUGGACAUGUGAUUCUGACUGGGCCAUCUGGAACCUUCCAUGAGGCUGGCUCUCCAGACACCACAUAAAAGAGCUGCUUUUUCAUGAACUACAAGCGAGCCUGGUUGGAGAGCAACGGGGGGCUGGCUUUCCUGGACCGGCAGGAAGCUGAUUACGGGAGGCGAGAAGGGAGCCAGUGCUUGGGGAGCCGAGCUGAGGCCACCAGCAUCCUCUGAGCCCGAGUCCCGUGAUGUGGGAGGCGAGGCCCCAGGCCUCCACGAGAGCCGCCCUAUCUUUGCUCUGUUUUGUUUGCUUUGCUUGUUGCCCUGCCGUCCCCGGCCUGGACGCCCAGAACCGCGAGGCUGAGCGGUGGGCACC